AUCUCUUCUCAGACUUUUGACUAAGAUCAAGUGUAGUAUCUGUUCAUAUGAGUUAAAAAAGCUUUGAGUCCCU
ensembl:snRNA LOC120099536 U2 spliceosomal RNA